rnacentral:rRNA from 1 species
UACGUAGGGUGCAAGCGUUGUUCGGAAUUACUGGGCGUAAAGGGCUCGUAGGCGGCCAACUAAGUCGGAUGUGAAAUCCCCAGGCUUAACCUGGGAACUGCAUCCGAUACUGGAUGGCUUGAAUCCGGGAGAGGGAUGCAGAAUUCCAGGUGUAGCGGUGAAAUGCGUAGAUAUCUGGAGGAAUACCGGUGGCGAAGGCGGCAUCCUGGACCGGCAUUGACGCUGAUGAGCGAAAGCUAGGGGAGCAAACGGG